rnacentral:rRNA from 1 species
CCCUGUUGAGCUUGACUCUAGUCUGGCAUUGUGAAAAGACAUAGUGGAUGUAGGAUAAAUGGGAGGGCUUGCCCGACAGUGAAAUACCAUUGCCGCUAUCGUUUUUUUACUUAUGCAAUUGUAACGGAAUUGGUAAGAUUUUACCUCGUUUAAAGUAUUAAAGAGAUCUCCUUCACCGGUUUAGGGGCUUAUACAUUUCAUAUGUAUAAUAAGCCCUCUAUUCCCAGGUUGGACAAGUACUCUGACCGUCGUUGUUGACAUUGCCAACCGGGGAGUUUGGCUGGGGCGGCACAUCUGUUAAACAAUAACGCAGUUGUCCAAAGGGGUGCUCAUUGAGAACGGAAAUCUCAAGUAGAGCAGAAGGGUAAAUGCUCCCUUGAUCUUGAUUUUCAGUGUGAAUACAAACCAUGAAAGUGUGGCCUAUCGAUCCUUUAGCAGCUAAGAAUUUUAGCCUAGAGGUGUCAGAAAAGUUACCACAGGGAUAACUGGCUUGUGGCAGCCAAGCAUUCAUAGCGACGUUGCUUUUUGAUCCUUCGAUGUCGGCUCUU